rfam:Ciona savignyi cont_28725, whole genome shotgun sequence.
GGUCCUGUGGCCCAAUGGAUAAUGCGCCUGACUUCGAAUCAGGAGAUUCCAGGUUUGAGUCCUGGCAGGAUCG